rnacentral:lncRNA from 1 species
UUCUAUAACUUAAUGCAUAAUAAAUAGAGUGCUCUAAUUAUUUAUUUAUUAUCUUUAUUAUUCAUUUAAUUAUCUAAGUAUUUAAUUAUUUUCAUUGUUAUUGUUUAUUAUUAUCAUUUAUUUUAUUGUUGUUUAUUGUUAAUGGUAUUUAUUUAAUUAUUUAAUUGCAUUUGAGAAUGGAUGUCUAAUUGUGCAUUGCAUUAUGAUGUUCAACUGAUCAAUAUGUCUGCAUUUGAUUGCAAUGUUUGAUUAAUUGUGUUGUGAAAAUGCUAUGCUUUGUUUGUGUGGAAUUGGGAUGAAGUGGACCACCAUGGGUUUGUGAGGACGGUCUGUGAUAUGGAUCCGGUUAUGAUAUGAUACUUGACCGUCGGCCGGGAAAAUGGGAGAUCGGCGCCCCCUUGUGCACCUGAUGAUAUAGAUUAUAUGGGAAUUCACAGGAUGGCUUCUUGUUGUUGCGCACCUGAUAAUCUAGAUUUGAUUGUAGCCCGCAGGGUGGCCUCCUGUUGUGAGCACUUGAUGAUCUAGAUUGGAUGGAGACCACCGGGUUGCCUCCUGUCGAUAUGGAAAAGAAACGAUGACUAAUUUCCACGUGAUGUGAUUAUAUGAAGAUGUUAAUAAUUGUGAGUGCUGGUGAUAUGCCAUUUGUGUGACUGGCUGUGUGAGCAUAUAACUAGUCGGAUGACUAGAUUGAUAUAUUUAUACAUUUGUGUGAAUGCGUGUGUUGUGCAAUAAUUAUUAUUCAUUAAUAGACUCACAUCUCUUUUGUUUAAAUCUUUC